rnacentral:rRNA from 1 species
AGAAUCAACGCUGGCGGCGUGCCUAACACAUGCAAGUCGAACGAGAUAGUGAAGCAAUCCAUGAGUAAAGUGGCGCACGGGUGAGUAACACGUGACUAACCUACCUUUUUGUGGGGGAUAACCUAGGGGAACCUGGGCUAAUACCGCAUAAUACCUACGGGUCAAAGCAGCAAUGCGCAGAAAGAGGGGGUCGCGGCCGAUUAGCUAGUUGGCGGGGUAAUGGCCCACCAAGGCAGUGAUCGGUAUCCGGCCUGAGAGGGCGCACGGACACACUGGAACUGAAACACGGUCCAGACUCCUACGGGAGGCAGCAGUGGGGAAUUUUGCGCAAUGGGGGAAACCCUGACGCAGCAACGCCGCGUGGAGGAUGAAGUCCCUUGGGACGUAAACUCCUUUCGAUCGGGACGAUAAUGACGGUACCGGAAGAAGAAGCCCCGGCUAACUUCGUGCCAGCAGCCGCGGUAAUACGAGGGGGGCAAGCGUUGUUCGGAAUUAUUGGGCGUAAAGGGUGCGUAGGUGGUUCGGCAAGUCUUGUGUGAAAUCUUCAGGCUCAACUUGAAGUCUGCACAAGAAACUGCCGGGCUUGAGUAUGGGAGAGGUGAGUGGAAUUUCCGGUGUAGCGGUGAAAUGCGU